ACCUGGGAAGGAUCAUUACCGAUCACGUUCUACACGUAGAAACACCGCGAACCGUAUGGAGAGUUGGGGGUCGCCCCGUCGAGGGCGUUAAACGGUGGGAGCGCCUUGGUCGCCAGCGGCCGGGGUUGAUUCUCACGGCCCCCACGUUUAUUUUUUCCUUCUAUUCCACACCUUUAUUGCAGAAAACGUGUCCGCUCUACAACGGACAGAAAAACUUAAAAGUUCAUAACUUUUAACGGUGGAUCUCUUGGCUCGUGCAUCGAUGAAGAAACGCAGCCAGGUGCGAUAAGUAGUGUGAAAUUGCAGAAAUUCAGUGAAUCAUCGAAUCUUUGAACGCAAAUGGCGCUCCUGGGUUUUCCCAGGAGCACGUCUGUCUGAGUGUCGGUUUCCAAAACCAACGCACGCCCGCGUGCGGACUUGAGGAGUCGCGGCCCGGUCAUCGACUGAGGCCUCGUCCCUUGAAAUGGAGCACCACCGACGGGCGAGGCCAGCGUCGCCACUUCGGGAAGGCCAAAAGCAUCUCUUUGCCCUUUUCCCGAGGCGGCGUCUGACCCGCCGCGUUCGGUUGUUCGGCAAGCUGCCCAGCAGCUAUCCAUUCUUGACCUCAGAUCAGGCGAGAUUACCCGCUGAAUUUAAGCAUAUUAAUAAGCGGAGGAAAAGAAACUAACAAGGAUUCC
rnacentral:rRNA from 1 species